rnacentral:rRNA from 1 species
GACGAACGCUGGCGGCGUGCUUAACACAUGCAAGUCGAACGAGGUUACAGAGGAGCUUGCUCCGAAGUAACCGAGUGGCGGACGGGUGAGUAACGCGUGAGGAACCUGUCUCACACAGGGGGAUAACGCACCGAAAGGUGUGCUAAUACCGCAUAAGACCACGGUACCGCAUGGUACAGGGGUCAAAGGAGCAAUCCGGUGUGAGGUGGCCUCGCGUCUGAUUAGGUAGUUGGUGAGGUAACGGCCCACCAAGCCGACGAUCAGUAGCCGACCUGAGAGGGUGAUCGGCCACAUUGGAACUGAGACACGGUCCAA